UGGGGAAUAUUGGACAAUGGGCGCAAGCCUGAUCCAGCCAUGCCGCGUGAGUGAUGAAGGCCUUAGGGUUGUAAAGCUCUUUUGUCCGGGAAGAUAAUGACUGUACCGGAAGAAUAAGCCCCGGCUAACUUCGUGCCAGCAGCCGCGGUAAUACGAAGGGGGCUAGCGUUGCUCGGAAUCACUGGGCGUAAAGGGCGCGUAGGCGGACUUUUAAGUCGGAGGUGAAAGCCCAGGGCUCAACCCUGGAAUUGCCUUCGAUACUGGGAGUCUUGAGUUCGGAAGAGGUUGGUGGAACUGCGAGUGUAGAGGUGAAGUUCGUAGAUAUUCGCAAGAACACCGGUGGCGAAGGCGGCCAACUGGUCCGAAACUGACGCUGAGGCGCGAAAGCGUGGGGAGCAAACAGG
rnacentral:rRNA from 1 species